rnacentral:rRNA from 1 species
AAUAGAUACCCGGGUAGUCCACGCCGUAAACGAUGAGUGCUAAGUGUUAGAGGGUUUCCGCCCUUUAGUGCUGCAGCUAACGCAUUAAGCACUCCGCCUGGGGAGUACGGCCGCAAGGCUGAAACUCAAAGGAAUUGACGGGGGCCCGCACAAGCGGUGGAGCAUGUGGUUUAAUUCGAAGCAACGCGAAGAACCUUACCAGGUCUUGACAUCCUCUGCCACUCCUAGAGAUAGGACGUUCCCCUUCGGGGGACAGAGUGACAGGUGGUGCAUGGUUGUCGUCAGCUCGUGUCGUGAGAUGUUGGGUUAAGUCCCGCAACGAGCGCAACCCUUGUUCUUAGUUGCCAGCAUUCAGUUGGGGCACUCUAAGGAGACUGCCGGUGACAAACCGGAGGAAGGUGGGGAUGACGUCAAAUCAUCAUGCCCCUUAUGACCUGGGCUACACACGUGCUACAAUGGAUGGUACAAAGGGGCUGCAAAAUCGCGAGGUUAAGCCAAUCCCAUAAAACCAUUCUCAGUUCGGA